rnacentral:rRNA from 1 species
GAUGAACGCUGGCGGCGUGCCUAAUACAUGCAAGUCGAGCGAACAGACGAGGCGCUCGCUCCUCUGCCGUUAGCGGCGGACGGGUGAGUCAUACGUGGAUGACCCAUCUAUAAGAAUGGGAUAACUACGGGAAACCGGAGCUAAUACCCGACAAUAUAUUGAAACGCAGGGUUCAAUAGUGAAAGACGGCUCUGCUGAGACUUCUACAGGGACCCGAGCCGCAUUAGUUAGUUGGUAACGUAAAGUCUUACCAAGGCGACGAUGCGUAGCCGACCUGAGAGGGUGAUCAGCCACACGGGAACUGAGAAACGGUCCAAACUCCUAGGGGAGGCAGCAGUUGGGAAUCUUAGGCAAUAGGCGAAAGCCUGACCGAGCAACGCCGCGUGGGUGAUGAAGGUGUUCGGAUCGUAAAGCCCUGUUAUUGGGGAAGAACAGAAGUGUAAGUAUCAAUUCACGUCUUGACGGUACCUGAAGAGAAAGCCACGGCUAACUACGUG